AGUGAACGCUGGCGGUAGGCCUAACACAUGCAAGUCGAACGGCAGCACAGUAAGAGCUUGCUCUUACGGGUGGCGAGUGGCGGACGGGUGAGGAAUACAUCGGAAUCUACUUUUUCGUGGGGGAUAACGUAGGGAAACUUACGCUAAUACCGCAUACGACCUACGGGUGAAAGCAGGGGAUCUUCGGACCUUGCGCGAUUGAAUGAGCCGAUGUCGGAUUAGCUAGUUGGCGGGGUAAAGGCCCACCAAGGCGACGAUCCGUAGCUGGUCUGAGAGGAUGAUCAGCCACACUGGAACUGAGACACGGUCCAGACUCCUACGGGAGGCAGCAGUGGGGAAUAUUGAACAAUGGGCGCAAGCCUGAUCCGGCCAUACCGCGUGGGUGAAGAAGGCCUUCGGGUUGUAAAGCCCUUUUGUUGGGAAAGAAAAGCAGCAGGUUAAUACCCCGCUGUUCUGACGGUACCCAAAGAAUAAGCACCGGCUAACUUCGUG
rnacentral:rRNA from 1 species